rnacentral:rRNA from 1 species
CAAUAGCGUAUAUUUAAGUUGCUGCAGUUAAAAAGCUCGUAGUUGGAUUUCGGGUGGGAAUGGCCGGUCCGCCGUUUCGGUGUGCACUUGCUACGCCCACCUUGCUGCCGGGGACGUGCUCUUGAGUUCACGCUCGGGACACGGAGUCGGCGAGGUUACUUUGAGUAAAUUAGAGUGUUCAAAGCAGGCCUACGCUCUGAAUACAUUAGCAUGGAAUAACACGAUAGGACUCUGGCCUAUCUUGUUGGUCUGUAGGACCGGAGUAAUGAUUAAGAGGGACAGUCGGGGGCAUUCGUAUUUCUUUGUCAGAGGUGAAAUUCUUGGAUUUAUGAAAGACGAACUACUGCGAAAGCAUUUGCCAAGGAUGUUUUCAUUAA